rnacentral:tRNA from 1 species
UGUAGUUUAGUGGUAGAAUGUUUGUCUAGUAUGCAAUAAGGCUCUGGGUUCAAAUCCCAGCA